UCACACAGAAUGAACGAGUUUCUUCUUUCAGAGUGAAAAGAGAGAAUGAGAUAGAAAGAGACACAGAGAAAGACACAUUCAGAGAGAGACCAGACGUGGGGACACACAAAGAGGGAGAGUGUAACCCCUCCAAAUACACACCCCCCAGUUCUGUCCCUCUUCACUCUGAGCUCCCUCGCAGCGGUGUCCCUCAGUCAGUCUCUGUCUCUCCCUUCCCUGACCCCGGGACAAUGUGCAGACUGUAAUUCAGGAGGCGCGCGGGGCGGCGGGGUUUUCAGCAGCCAGCCGCGCGCGGCCCGCUCUGUUUGUCCAGGUCCGGCCGGCUCCCCUUGGCCCGGCGGAGCGAGGCUGGAAGAGAGGGAGGGAGACAGGCGGGGGCCGCGCGGAUCCGGUGUCACGUUGCAGAUUCCCACUAAAGAUAACGAAACGUGAUCUAUUUUUCAGAACAGCAAGUGGAUGGGAAAGAACCUUGACAACACAAAACUCAUUUACUAAUGGACUGGUUUUGGGUUUCUCUUCUCCGGGUCCGCAAAUCGCCCUGCCUGAGCCCUCGGCCUAUUCAGACCUCGCGGGGAGCGGCGUCCCCCAGGAGGCAGGUGGGCGGCUGCUCCGGCCGCCGGCCUCGGGGAGCCCCGCAUCCCAAGGGUCGAGGGCACCCGGAGUUUCCGACCAAGCAGAGGAAAAAGGAUGGAUGCUGUCACUUCAGCCAGGAUUUGGGCAGUCUCUGCACUGCCGCAGAGCGACGACGCUAAUUUGUUAAAGAAACGCCUCCUGUUGCCUUUCCCUUCCAAAUAUACGUAGCUAGAGCAGGAUCCCCGCUGUCGUUCUUGAUGGCGAAGGAAUUCCAAGAAAGCAGGCCGUGAGCCCCAAAAACACCUCGCUCUAAGCCAGAAGGGAAAUAAGUGGGUCCCAGUCAGAGGUUUUUUGAACCAAGGCCUUAUGUCAACCCAGCCGAGAAACCCCAGCAGCAACCAGUGCCUCCGCAUUGGCCUUUCCAUUGACCAAUUGUGCGCACCCGGCCAUUACCUGCGCAGCAGAGGCACAGAAGAGCCGAAACCCGGCGUCGGGCGCCCCUCGCCAGCCGCGUUACCCUCGGGAGCCACGGAGCGGCGGGGGCAGCAGCUGGAGUUGCUCGUUCCCUUUAAAUCUCCGACGCAUCUCUGUUUUUCGUGUGAUUUGCAUUGACAGCAAAGGUUUUAAGUUACUAGAACAACUCUAACCUUUCUGUGCGCGAUUUAAAAUGGAUCAUUUGGUUUAUGUGGUUUGUAAAUUCAUGUCAUUUUACCUCUUUUAGUGGUUUUCAGUGAAAGGUUCCAUUUUGGGAAACCUUAUAUAUCCGAGCCAAUAAUUAACAUUUAUAACAAUUGGUUACCCUGACCAAGAGAUCGAAAUAGCAGGUAGGCUCGAUGGUACAAAGCGAAUAGCACUUUUCUUUUCUAGUUACGGGAUCUGUUGGAUUAAACACAAGGAGAAAGGCUGGCGGCCCGGCACAGCCUCCGAGAAGGAGCACCACUUCUCACUGACCCCAGGGCCCACAAUCACAGCACCCACACGGUUGUCUUCCCAGUUGUCGCCAACGUCUUGUAUGUCCUCAUUCCUUUUGAAGAGAGAAGAAAAGAAGUGGGUUGAGAGGUCUGGAGGAAGUCGAAAUGAAGGUGGUCACAUCGGUGUCUAAUUGCCUUCUCUCUGCUCCCGGUCAUCCCCUGUGAAUUUAUACCCGCCCUCCUUGGCCAGGCUAUGCCUCAUUUCCUUAUACAAAAUUUUUAAUUAUAAAGUACACCCCAUGCUCAACUUACCGUUUGUCUUUUAAGAGACGUAGCUGUACUUACAGCCGCUCCCCUGCCCCCCAUACACAUUGUAAUUCUGCGCACUUGCUCCAGACUUUAGGGUAUUAACUGAUUUUUAGAGCCAGUUUAAGCCUCUGUGCUGGUCCUCACACAGCUGCCAUGUCAAUAAGGAUUGUUCCAAGCAGAGACAUUCCUUCUGGCAGGACGGACACUACAGCUCCUUAAGACUUCAUCUGAAACAUCCUGAGCACUAAAAUAAGAUGGUGAGGGAAAAUUACCAGACACAUGGG
ensembl:lncRNA